rnacentral:lncRNA from 7 species
CCAUUUAACGAAAAUCACGCGUUUUUUCUUCGGAAAUUCCCAUUUAAGCAAAAAUCACGCGUUUUCUCUUCGACAAUCCCCCAUUUAACCAAAAAAAUCACGCAUUUUCUCUUCACAAAUCCCCCAUUUAAACCCGAAAAUCACGCGUUUUCUCUUCGAGAAUCCCCCAUUUUAGUGAAAAUCACGCGUUUUCUCUUCGCAAAUCCCCCAUUUAAACCAAAAAUCCACGUUUUCUCUUCGGAAUCCGCGAUUUAACUGAAAAUCACGCGUUUUUUUCUUCGAGAAUCCCCCACUUAAGCAAAAUCACGCGUUUCUCUUCAAGAAUCACCCAUUUAAGCGAAAAUCACGCGUUUUUUCUUUGAGAAUCCCCCCGACUUAACUUGAAAAUCACGCGUUUUCUCUCGACAAUCCACCAUUUAAAGCGAAAAUC